UUUUUUUUUUUUUUUUUUUUUUUUUUUCAGGACUGAAGGAAGUUUAUUCACGCCAACAAGUGACAUGAGGGAGUGGACCCUGCACCUCCAGAAAGCAGACACCUCAACCAAGGGCCUUCCCUGAGAUAGGUCUUCUGCUUUUCCAAACUCCACAGGGCGCAUGAUUAACCAAGCCUCCCGUGGACGCGCUGCUCAGGGCUUUGAGGGCUGCUCAGACUUGGCUUUAAAUUCCUGUUCCAGUACAUACUAGCUGUAUGACCUUGGACAAACACCCAAAUAUCUCUUAUCUUCAGUUUCUUGUAACUAUAAACUAAUCAGAACAUUCAUCAAGAGGCUAUGGUAAGAGAUACACAAUACAACAUGGGGAAUUGUCCAGCACAGGCCCUCUUUCCAUGUUUAAUUCCAUGUAGACAGACAAAUGAACAAUAAUUCAUAAAACGGCUAUUCAAAUAGCCUACCCUGAUGUCAACAAUAAUUGCUUAACUAAAUAUAACUACAGUAUUCUUAUUUCCUUAGUUUCCAAUUUAUACCAAUAUUAAAAACAUAUUCUUUUAAGCAUUCUAACACGCUGGUACAUUGCUAAGGAAAAUUCCCUAGAGAUAAGCAAGCACAGCAUUAGGUCAUUUGGGUUUUAAGCACUUAGACUUUGGAGAAAUUCCAGCAAACUCCUCUCAAGGGAGCACUGUACAACCAUGGGCUUGGAGAUAUGUUAAGAAGACUACAGAUUCCUGUAACAGUGAACUCAGCUUUAAGACCACUGUGUGAAGCCAGUCUCAUUUACAAGGCCCUAAGAGAUGGAGAAUUUCUCAGUGAUAUCUUCUAAAGUCUGCUAUAUUAUCAUAAAACACCCUUCUAUCUAUAAUGUUUUCUUGCAUUUUUUUUACAGUUUUUCAACCUAACUAAAAAGAUCCUAUUAUUGGAGCAUCUGGAUGGCUCAGUUGGUUAAACAUCCAACUCUUGGUUUCAGCUGGUUGUGAUCCCAGGUCGUGAUCUCAUGUCAUGAUCUCAGGGUCUUGAUCUCAGGAUCAUGAGACUGAGCCCCACGCUGGGCUCAUGCUCAGCACAGCUUUUCUUCAGACUCUCUCCACCCCUGCUCACAUGCUCUCUCACUCUCUCUCAUUCUCUAAAAUAAAUAAAUCUUUUUAAAAAUCCUAUUAUUGUUAAAGUUUGAAAAGGGGAAGAUGAAUUUCGGAAGCUGAAUUAUAUGAUGUGCUAAGAAGGGUAUUUUAUGAUGUGCUAAGAAGGGUAUUAUAUGAUGUGCUAAGAAGGGUAUUAUAUGAUGUGCUAAGAAGGGUAAUACCCAAACAAAGAAACUAAGCAGUGCUAUUAUAAAGGAAUAUUUUAUCAGAGAAGACCCUGCAGUUUCAAAGGGGGAUGCAAUACUUAGGAAAGAAGCAUGUCUUACAGCUGAGGUGUCACCUACAGCAAGGAAAGGGUAGACGAGUACCAUUAACAUACUACCUGAGUAUAGGUACCUCAAAACUAUUUGUGGGAUGAAUUUGUAAAAUAGAGAUGAGAGCUCCAGAAAUUUAGAAGGUGACUCCUAAUCAAGUCCAAUCUGCCUUUGUCUUUGAUGAGGUUCCAAAGCACAAAAAGGUUAAGUGAUGUAGCCAAAUUCUUAAAACUAGUAAUAGUAGGAGACUAAGACUCUGGGAAAGCACUUCAAUGGCCUAUCAAGAUGCAGUAACUCUUCAGGCUAAGUGAGGUUGAAACUAUGGAAAACCUGAUGCUGAAUGUCACUCACAAUAUUUUCUUUUGAAUUGAGGCAUAAUGAUAUAUAAUAAACUGCACAUAUUUUAGGUGAAUGAUUUGAUAAGUUCUGACAUACAAAAAGGUCCAUAAGAUUAUCAACACAAUCAGAAUAAGGACCAUAUUCAUCACCUUGUAAAGCUUCCCCAUUUUGCCAUCCCUUCCUCAUGUCCCUCCUAAGCAAUCAAUAAUCUGCAUUGUCACUACAGAUUAGUUUGAAUUUUUUAGAUUUAUAUAAAUGGAACCAUAUGACAUAUACUCUUUUUUUGCCUGGCAUCUUCAUUCCUGCAUUCCAGUUAAAGUUUAUUUAUGAAAAGAGAUGGUGGGGAAUAUUUGGCAUGCAGGUUAUAGUUUACUGACUGCUGGUCUAGUUCUAGAGCCCAUGUGCUUAAUUUCUAAGCUGUAAUGCAUCCAGAAAAAUCCAGCUGCUCCAGACAAAAUAUGAUGAACUGCUGGAAGGUGAUAAUAAUAAUAAUAAUGUGGGAAGAGGGUUUGUGUUUUGGGGAACAGACAGAAUGUGAGUUGUGAAAUAAGAUAUAAGUUAGGAAAGAUAAUGGACUGCAUAUACUAUGAAGGAACUGCACAAUAUUCUGUAAAUGAUGGAGAACGUCUGGAGAGUUAAAUUUAAUAAAAAAAAAAAAAAGAAUAGUUUGGGGUGGAUUCCAUGAAGAGUACAACAGACUACAUAAUUUAGAAAAGAGCUAAAUAAUCCUGCAUUUAAAAUACUCUAUAGCAGAUAGAAGCAAAUGAAAGGUAUGUAUAGAAGAGCCAGCUAAGUGACCAGCUGGAUGACCUGAAGGGUGGAGGGGGGAAAAACUAGGAAUUAAUUUCAGAUUUCCAGCCUAUUUAACUCACACUUGACACUUAUUUUAAAUGAAAAAAAAAAAAAAAAAAGGAGAGCUGGGUUUGGAAGAAAAACUGACAAGUUCUAUCGUGAACAUUGCAAGUUUUAAGAUAUUCGUGGGAUAUACAUGUGAGAUGUCUAGUAAGUGAUCAGAAAUGAGGGUUGAGUAUUCCAGAGCCAGAUGGGGCAGAUUAGGAUUCUGUAUAUUCAUAUAUGCAUACCCACAGCCCUCUGAGUCAAAAAAACAAAAAAAACAAAAAACAAAAAACUGGGUUUUCACUAAUUUGUUCUCACCUACAAAGUUCCACAACCUCCCAGAGACAUCUUGAGUUGUGCCUAACAAUGUCAUGGAAAUCAUGCUUAGUAAUCUUCAAAUUCUAACUACAUCUCAGUGCCAGAAAUUGAUAAAGCACUGAAACUGAUAAAGCAUUGUCUCAAAACAAUGACUGAACCCUUCCCAUGUUCCUGGGAGCCAUCUGCCUAGGCACAGAGAAAUGCAUGGAAGUGGGUCAAUAUUAAAAUCUAUUGGCUCUCUCUUCUUAAGCGGCACCCCUGGAUCUCCACCAUCAGAAAGAUCUGCUGUGAGUUGAGGGGCCCUGGAGUAAAGGCAUCCAAAGAAAAGUUGGAGGUCCUUUGGCUUAUGAAUCAGUCAGUGGUCUUUGUCUCUAGAAAUAGUACCCUGGGGAUCCCUGGGUGGCGCAGCGGUUUAGCGCCUGCCUUUGGCCCAGGGCGCGAUCCUGGAGGCCCCGGGAUCGAAUCCCACGUCGGGCUCCCGGUGCAUGGAGCCUGCUUCUCCCUCUGCCUGUGUCUCUGCCUCUCUCUCUCUCUCUCUGUGACUAUCAUGAAUAAAUAAAUAAAAUCUUUAAAAAAAAAAAAAAUAAAUAAAUAAAUAGUACCCUGGAUGGACCAGGGGGAGACUUUAUUUUUUAUUUUUUUAGGGGGAGACUUUAAAUGCUUUAGAGCAUCAUGUGGGCAAGGCCAUUCUUUGAGUUCUCUUUACACGUGUUUUCUUACUCCAGCAUCCGCUGAAGCUAGAAACAGACUGCAGAGUAAUCAUAUAUUUAGCAAGGCCUCAAUUCCAGAACCAGCACGUCAGGGUUUGGUUUGGUUUGGUUUCUUGUUCUUUGGUGCCCUCCUGUGUUCUCUUCUUGGAUAACACUUGAUUUAUAAGACCCAACUGAAGUAAGCUCAAGUAACAGUGCCACUACAUUUGAGACAAUAAAACGACCAAUUGCCUUAUACCACAGGCUUCUGUAUGUUUCAACAAAUACGUUUCCAUAUCAACGGUGUUUUAAAGCAGGUGAAGACAAUCCCUAAUGCUUAGCACACUGCCCGCCAUAAAGCAAAUGCUCAAAAAAUGUCAAAGACUAAAGGUCCAUUAGCCAGAGUGAAACAAAGAAGCCUGUUGAGUCUUUUAGGCAUAUUCUAUUACAGCAAAUUUAUAGGGAAUUGCCAAAGUGCUUCAUUAGCAUGGUUUAUAUUUAUUUAUACCUGCUUCAUAAAAUAUAAUAAUAUUAUAAAGGAAAAGAGUCUACUCUUUAUUCUUUGGGGCAUUCCUUCAUUCAAAUAUUUAUUGACUUUAAACUAUAAGCCACAUCCUGUUUUAAGUACCAAGAAAUCAAAAAGGAAGACAUCAUUGGUAGAGACAGAAAAGUAACUCCACCUCUUCAGAACAAAGGUAAACCUGCUAUAAUGGACAUAUGCGCUGAGCAUCAUUGGAUCACAGAGAGAAACCAAUAAUUGAAAUCAUGAAUAAUUUACAUCACAUAUUGCACACACUGACACUGCUUGCAGGCUACCUUUUCUGCCCCACGCCUAGAUUUUGGGUUGGUAUCUCAUAUUAUACAAUUCAGCAAACUUCAAGGAUUUUGACUUUCACAUAUAAGUGCAAGACUUUUAACUGCACUGAGCUCCUCCUCAUAUUGGCUUCCACCUCAUUUAACAAUAAGAAAAUAUAAGACUGGAAGUAAUAUGUCAAAAAAAUACCCUUCUAUUCUCCUAAUUACUAAAAAGAUACGGCUCAAGGUUAAGAAUUAAUAGUAUUUGCUCUAUGCUUGACUUUUUUGGUCACACCUACGUUGCCAAGUCCAACGUUGAGAUUGCUUUACAAUCUCAACCACUUCCCACUUCCAAACAUUCUUCACAAGCAUGUUGACUCCUUUUUCCUAAUUCAAGACCCCUGUCCACCUCCCAGCUGCCUUACAUCUAUAUUACCAUAGCAUUUGUUUUACGGAAGUUGUAUUAUCUGGAUCUCAGAAUCUUUUAUCCCUUGGAAUCAGACUCUGAUUCUGUAUCUACUGCUUCAAUAAUGCCAUUUUUCCUACCUCAUCCUUUGAGACUCUUACAGAUCAAACACAAAAAUCAGACCACUUUUCAGAAAGGCCUAAAGCUAAAAUGUAAAGCACUCAAUUGCUAUCUUCUAUAGGCUGGAAGGUUGCCUUUACUUACUUUAGUUCUCUAGCACCUGACUCAAAUAGUUCCAAAGCAUCACUGAAUUCAAUCUGAACCAUAGGCUCACCAUGAACUCCUCCAACUAGCCAGCACCACAGAGCCUGAUUACUUCCUCCUAUUUCUCCCUCAUUCCCAAGCUCAUACUCUUCCUUCUACCCAAUGGUUUCCUUGCCUUCCUAGAUCCCAAUAUUCUUCCGCUUCCAAGAAUUUGUGAACUUCAGUGUUCUUGAGACAAUAUCCCAUUACUUAAUUGCCACAUUACAUUCUGCUCCUCUAUGGAACUGUGACCAGCUCCUUUGGGAUGUUUCCAUCCAACAAGAUGGUCUGCAGUGGAGAGAACAGUUUUCUCAGCAUUGAGUCCUAAACAUGAGGUGUGGUUCUGCUUUUGUCCCUUGAGCUAAGGUACUUAAUUUAACCCUACAUAUCUGCUUCUCAAGGUCCUCAUCUGUGAAAUGGGAGUAUUUAUAUCUAUAGCACAAAAGCCUUCAGCAUGUGUCCAGUAAGUGGUGGCUUCUUGUCCUCACUUCAUCUCUGAUUAAUCCAUUCAUUUUCUUUACUAAUGUCACAAAGUUCCAUGAUUAUUGUAUAUAAAUUUGUUUUUUUUUCUGAGUUUCUUAUCUCUUAUUUGAUCUUUUAAGGGCAGAGGCCAUUACUUAUUUCAGCUAGGAUGCUAACUAAUAUUGUAAACAUCAGAUGCUAUUGUAUUGAUUUUUUACAUUGCUUCUUCCACCAACAGCCUGCUCCCAAAUCCUGCUUUACAAUCUCAAUCUCUUGACUUUUUAAAAUAAAACCUCAUUAUUUCUAUACUCAAACAAUCUGAUCAAUCACAAGGGUUGAUUAAUUUUGCCUUACUGUGGAGGUCAACUAAAGGGAAAAAAAAGAGACAAUUUCAAGUUGUGAAUCAAUGAGAGAGCAAAAGAUAUAAAUAACUCUGUGUACAUUACUCCUGAUCACAAUUCCUCCACCUAAUGCUCUUGAUCUUGCUUAGGAAAACCAAAUGUUCUACUUAUUAUUAUUUUAAAUAGCAGGUCGUCCAGAUACCACAUCUCUUUUUCUCUUUCUACUUAAAUUAUAGAUGUAAGAAUCACCCCAACUUCAUAUUGUUUCCUGUUCAAUAAACAAAAUGUUAAGUGCCACACACCCAGAAACUUUAAGACCAUGUACUAAGAAAACCAUUAGGUUUUCUUGUGAUCAAGGGUGGCAUACUCAUAGAGUACAGCUCACAGUGAUUUUCCACCCCUCACCAAUACAGCCUGGCGUGAUGGAAGAUAACCUGAAGAAGGAAAACUUGUUCAAAUGCUGGUUCCCUG
rnacentral:lncRNA from 1 species